rnacentral:lncRNA from 1 species
GAAAGCUGAGGAAAGAAAGUGUACCGGACACGAACAAAUAAACACAUCUGUGGAAUUAACGUAAGAGCGAUUUGGUUACCUUUGCCAGAACCAACUUUCAAAUACUGAAUUUUAUGUCUGGGGGAAAAUUAAAAGUAUGUAAAACAAACAUUACAGGCAAAAGAGCUCCUUGGAGUCACUGAGGAAACGGGACAAGUGAAUGCUUUGAUCUGUUCAUACUCCCUUACUCAGUGCACCUGGAAACGUGCUGAGCAUAGAUAACGUCCUUCCGUCCUCAAGUGCAAUGCUACGUGGCUAUUGUUUCUGGCAACCAUCAGCAUGGUGGAGAUUCCACUAAAGGUAAGAAGCUGGCCAGGCCCAGGAAGAACGCUGGCUGCAGAGAGGGAAUUGAAGCCCUAAUCACAUUCUCCUCUGCUUCUCCCUGCUAAACACACUCAGGAAUCCAAUUCAUCAAGAAAAUUAAUCAUAUGGAUUGUUAACAGCCUCACUCUCAGCAUCCAAAGGUAAUCUGUGUGUGCUGUCACAAGUCGCACGCUGCAAGAAUGAUUAAAUAGGGGCUGUCAGGAAGACCACGCUACACAAUGACUUAUUUAAGGCAUAUAUGUCCUACAGAUAUUUGUUUUUCUGAACGACAGCAAUAAUGAAGUGUCUAUAUUUUUCAUCCCUAGUAUGUGCCUCCAAACUCCACCCCUCACCCAUUCUGCCCCUCACCCGUCCCUGCCCCCACUCAUCCCCACCCUCACCUGACCUCACACCUCACCCUUUUUCAUCGCUAACCACUCAGACACUUCAGAACACUAUUGAAUGUCUUCUUUAUUAUAAGUCACUUUUCUUCUUGCACAUAAGAAUGAACUUGGUGACCGGCCCCUCUCAGGCUGACCCAGGAAGAAGUCACGCCCAGGGGUUUAUAUUUGGGAAACUGCAGCCAGGCACUGGUUAUUAAUGAAGUAAGCGAGGUAAGCCUUCAUACUCUCCUUCAGAGCAAGCAUGGGACUUUUGACUAAGAGGCAGCAGAGUUAUAAAAUAAUCAAUUCCAAGCUCAUCAAAUGUUCUCAAGACUAUGAUUGCUGCCAGGCCAUCCACAGUAACAGUAUUUUACAUGUUCCAGAGAAUAAAUGGGCAAAAUUCCCUUUAAUACAGUUAACAGCCAGCAGAAAAUUACCCCUUUGUGUUACACAACAAAUUUUUCAUGAAAAAUAUAUGGUGUAAAAAAUGGCUUUUGGAAAAUAAAACAAAGCUUAUUUUCAUACUAGACUGUAUGAGGCCACAAUUAUGUAAUAGCAAAUCAUGUAUGCGUUCUUGUCCUAAAACUAUAUCAAAAUGAGCCUCAUGCGUAAUGGAAAUAGAAAAAGAAUCCCAGUAGUCCAUCCAUAUUGAUCACAACUACCAAAUAAAGUAAUAAUUAACCCUUUUAUCUUAUCUGUAUCACUUUUGAGGUAAGAUGAUGGAGUGCCUUGAGAUUUUGUUUUCAAACAUGAUAAAACACAAACAGGUAGAAAUUAGGUAAAAAUGAGUGUUAAGCCAAGAUAUGAUUUUUAUAUAGACAAACUACAUUUCUAUGUAAUUAUUGGAUUCAGGUUAUUACUUUCAUUAAGAAAUUCUUUAUUAAUCAACCUAGUUACAAAAGCUGUGAUCGACAGUGUUCACCAGCCUAAAUGACAUACUGGUACAUUAAUGGCGCAAACAUGGCUUUGAGUAAUCACCUGCUAUCUGAUUGGAUUUAAGGCCCACUCUAUGAGAUGGCACAUAUGUGAUGACUAAACGGUGAGAUUAGAUGGGCUAUGGGCCUUGGGGACAACCAAACCAUGUUGUUCAGUCCAAAGACUUUCUGAUACAUGCAUAGAUCAGCGACUUGCUCAGGAAAGCUUCCUCUUGCCCUACAUGGGAUCUAACACAGAAACUCACAAUGAUCAAUGUGCAGAGAGUGAGAAACCCUCAGAACACUCAGUCCUAAAUGGAAUGUAUUCAAAUUCCUCCCCUCUGGGCUCAGACAAUGCUGUGGAAGAGGAGGCAGAAAGAGUGUGCUAGAGCGGAUGGCUGACAUCAAGGAAACAGUGUCUUCCACACACAACAGGGAUGACACACAUGUGAGUGCACAGGAAUGGUGGCAGCACCUACAGCGCAUGCACAGGUCUGGCUAGAAGAGGUCCAGGGUUGAGGAGAGAAGUGCACAUGAGUUCCCAUUUCUAAGCAAGAGGCUAUCUUUAAUUGAUAGCCACUUGCAAAGAAAAGUUAGUUUUCUCCAAUGGAGUCUCAAUGAGCAUACAAACCAAUCUUAAGAGUAGGCCAGUGAAAAAUGAACUCAAUGGUGUUUUCAAAGAUUUUAUAUAUAUAUAUACACACACACACACACACACACACACAUAUAUAUAUAUAUAUAUAUAUACACACACACAUAUAUAUGCUAUGGAUUUUUUGUGUGUAUAUGUUUCUCAUGCAUUUUCUUUAUAUUUUUAAAUUCAGGUUUGCUGUCUGUUUUUUAUUUGCCUGCUUUUUUCCUAAGGAGAGAGAACGAGGGUGUGGUGCUCGAAGGGUGUGGAGGUUGGGAGGAUUUGGGAAUAUCUGGGAGUAACUGGGGUGGGAAAAGUGUGACCAGAGUGUAUUGUGUAAAAAAAUAUUUUCAAUAAAAAAUGAUGAAGAAAGGGGCAUGUUGUGUGGUGCCAAUUUUAUAACACAUACAUGGAAUUUUAGCAUUUAUCAUAGAUGGUUUCCUUUUUCUGUUAAAUUGUUAAAAAAUUAGUUUGUAUUAGUAUUAUAAAGAAUACUGAAAUUAUUAAACACAGAAAGCCUCUAGAAAACUGAAGUCAAUUUCGGCAUUACAGAGUAGUUUUAAGACAGAUUCCUAAAAGAUGUGUUAGUUUGUUCAACUUCUGAGCUGUGGUACCCCUAGUUGGCAAUGUUUUCAGGUCUGGUUUAUUAUUAAUGAAGGCAGUUGGAUUCCAUUGUUUUCAUAAAGGUAUCCUUUUUUGGGGGUUUCAGUUUUAAAAAUUCCUUGCAAAUUUCAUACAUAUAUACAAUUAAAUACAAUCUUAAGCACCCAUCCCCCACCACCCUGACAUCAAAAACUUUUCUUUUAAUUACCAAGUUAAAUUAGUAUUGCCCAUACUACUUUAUGCCCAUAUAUUGAUGGCAGUGGGGCCAUCCACUAGGUCAUGGGAAACAUACCAAUGACAGUACUCUCAAAGAAGAAUGAGUCUCCCUAUUCUAGAAAAUGUUGGAAAUGUCUCCUUGACAAUGCUUGGGGGUUAAGGGGACUGGAGAUCCCUUU